UACGUAGGGGGCAAGCGUUGUCCGGAAUGAUUGGGCGUAAAGGGCGCGUAGGCGGCCUGGUAAGUCUGGAGUGAAAGUCCUGCUUUUAAGGUGGGAAUUGCUUUGGAUACUGUCGGGCUUGAGUGCAGGAGAGGUAAGCGGAAUUCCCGGUGUAGCGGUGAAAUGCGUAGAGAUCGGGAGGAACACCAGUGGCGAAGGCGGCUUACUGGACUGUAACUGACGCUGAGGCGCGAAAGUGUGGGGAGCAAACAGGAUUAGAUACCCUGGUAGUCCACACUGUAAACGAUGAAUGCUAGGUGUAGGGGGUAUCGACCCCUUCUGUGCCGGAGUCAACACAAUAAGCAUUCCGCCUGGGGAGUACGGCCGCAAGGUUGAA
rnacentral:rRNA from 1 species